rnacentral:tRNA from 1 species
GGAUUGUGGCUCAGUGGUAGAGUGUUCACCUAGCACAUGUGAGGCACUGGGUUCAAACCUCAGCAUCA